AAUUUGAUUUUUCCGCAGGAGAAAAAGAUGAAAUCAUGCCUAUGUUAAAUCACAGCCGAGAUGAGACUCCAGCUCCACCACCAAUAAGGAAUCGGCGCCAAAGUGCAAUCGACAGAGCAGCUCGUCUUGUGGACAUCCACCAUACUGUUGUCCAUGUUUCUACAGAACUGCCCUCAGAUGUUAUGACGUCGCCAGAGAGAACAGGAAAUGGUAGUCCCGGCAGCGCCCUGCAUACAAAAUCUGAGGGUCCAACAGUAAAUUCUCCAAGCGCCAUUAAUCAAAAGGUCGACACAUAAAUUCAAGGUCGUGUAACAACAUAUCCGGAGAUCUGGAUCGUAUAAGAAUGAGCUAGCUUAUGAUACUUUAGUGUUUUCCAGUGAGAAAAUGUUUUUAUACCUCAGUUCUAAAACGGAAAGAAAAAACACACAUUUUGGCUCUUCACCACGUCGCUUCUGUGAUUUCAUUAUUCUUAUCCCCUCGUUUUUUAUCUGUAUUAAAUUAAAAGGCACUCUCAAAUACUUGAUGUGACAUCGGACCACGCAAAAAAACUGUCAUUCAUGACUUGCUUAUAAACUAUUAAACUCUGGUAACAAUCUUUUGCAAUUCGUCUGUGGACCAACAGUAAUUGAUUUAAAUUCUGAAAGAGGCAUGCAAAUACACACAAGAAAUUUAUCCAAAAGAAAUAAUAAUAAGUAAAAGCUAAAUAAAUACAUAUCGGAUUAUAACUAUUUUUCACUAAUGACUGGUAGAAUUUCAUAAUCUAAGAAUGGCGAAUCUUAUUACUUCGUAAUACUACAUAACUAUACAUAACUUAAAAUUAUAAUUAUUAGAAUAGUAAGCAGAGCGUUAAAAUUGAUAUGAAACUCUUUCUUAUUUAAAUUGCAAUUAUGCUCUUUUAUUAUCAAUAAUGGAAAAUAAAUAAAUAAAACAUUUAUCUUUUGAAAGUGCAUUUUAUGAAAAGCAAGAUUUUGAAAUAGGAUACAAAAAAUGAAAAGAGAAUCUAAUAAUUUUAAGAUAAUGUUUAGAUAUGUAUUACACUGCGGAAAGAAAGAAAACAACGUUUAUUUUGAAACUAAUAAAAAAUAAUGACAUUUUCAACAUCUUAAAAAUACUUUGCAUGGCCUCUAUAUCCUGUCAUCAUCUUAAUUUUUGGAGAAAUUACAGAUCACUGUUGCCUGUUAUGAGUUGUGAGAGAAAUCAUAACAAAUUCAUUUGCAGUUUUUUUUCUUUGCGUUUGUAAACUAAUAUCAAAACAUUACUGUUGAUAGGCAUCGCAUCAAUUCGUGAACACUAAAAAAAUAUUAACAUUUAAGAAAUUUAGUUGGUUGAAUUAUUAGUAUAAUAUUCGGUAACAUUAGUGCAUGGUAUUUACUGGACAAAAAUCUUUUUUUAUUAUUAUUAUUUAUCUAUUCAGAAGAAAUAAAACUAACGGGAGAAGGGAUAAAGUGACAAAUCAUAAAAGAUAUGCAGCCUUUACAAAUCAUACAUAACAUUUUCUUUUGUACAACUAUAUGCAGACUGUAAGUGGCAACAGUAGAAAUGAAAUAAUCGUAGAAUGAUGUUGUUUAAAAAAAGAAUGUCUUUAAAUAAUGAAUAAUAAAUUGUUUUUCUUUUAAAUUUAGUAGCGUAAAGUUAUUCUUAAACCAGAAAAAUAAUGUUUUUGAUGUAGCAUCUGUAACAGAUAUAUUCUAUCUAGUUCUUCCACGCUAUAUUAGCUCCAUUCAUUAAUAAUAACAAUCUGCCACGUUUUCUCAAUGCUUGAAUAAAUCAUAUUGAAAUAAAUGCUUAGGAAUGUUUAAAUUAAAUGUUGUCAUUAAUUUUGCAUUUAUUUCAUUUAAAGUCUUCCACAAUACGUACCACCUACUGCAUGGAUCGGCAACCCGAUGCCCGCUAAGCAAUUUUAAAGUGCCCGUGUUCGGAUAUCUAAAUUCCAAAUUUUAAAUAUAUGGACAAUUAACACUUGUACUUAUGAUGAAGAAUUUUAGUAAAAGUUCUUAUUUUAUCUUCUGCGCUUUAACAACUGUAUGAAUUGUACAUUUAAACUUUUGACUAAAUUAGAAUCUCAUUGGUAUCUAGAUAUACUACAUUAAUAGAUAAAUCAAUUUUUGACAAUUAUAUAUAAACAAUUUUCUGUCCCCAUCAUCUUCAUAAUCUAUGUCCAAAUACGGCGUGCUAUGCUUUAUAUCCGUAACCUCUGUUCGUAUAUGAAUUUAAAUUUCAAGUUGCAAGCACAGUACGCAUUCUUUUCUUUAAAUAAAAAAGUUACGAAAAUGUGCACAGACCAUCGAUUUUGCAGUGCUUGGUUCUGAGAGAAUGAAUUCAUUUCAGCUGAUUGGUGUGUCAACAAUUUAUUUCAGCUGCACGACAACAACUACUUGUAAUUUUCUUGCUUGGUUAGCAACUUUUUUCAUAAACGUUUUCGCAAUAACAAAAUUAAUUUUUAGAAAAAAAUCUAAACUUUUACAAUCCACAUAAAUUAACUCUAUUUUGAUAUAUAUAUAUAUAUAGUAGCCCGCCCCACGGUGCUCACCGAACUCUUGCAUUUUUUAAAUAUGCAUUCUUAGUAAAAAACGUUGCCGACCUCUAACCUAGUGACAUUCCAAAAAAAUGGUUUCAAUAAUUAUAAAUAUUAAUCCUUCAUCCCUUUGGCGACAUUAAGCAAUUCCUUCUUCCCAUGUACGGAUGAUAUCUGUCAGUCAUAAAUUCAUAAUGCCAGCUGUGUUCCUUUGCGCCCACUGCGAUGAGUAACUGGAAUGCGAGUUGAGCUCUUUGAUGACCAUCAAAAAGAUUAAUACAAUAAAACAACUAUUUCUGAACUUGUCGAGACCUACUUCAUUUAGAGUAUGCAAAAAGUAAGGAUAACUAAACAGAAUGAAGAAUUUAUUCCAUACCGUCACCACGCAACCUCAAGGGACAGUAAAACUAUUUGUCAUCUUUCACCCUUUAAAAUAUUUUAUAGCAAUUCUUCCUCAAAAGAAGAUAUUCUUUUACAUGCGGCCAUUUCACAAAUUCAUUUUAGCCAUUGUUAAUGUUGAACUGGAGCAGAAAUAAAAUUGGAUCACAAUUCAAGCUGAAUUAGAGCAGUCUUCUUGCAGCUCCAGUCACUUCACAGACGACUGGAAACAUUUAACGACAUUGUUGAAUGGAAGUGAAUCGUUAACAAAGGUUUCUGCUUCCCUCAGUUUCUUGUUGUUUUCGAACAAAUGAUAUAAUCUAAUCAUUUAAAAUUGGGUGUCCAAGAUCAAUUGUAUGGGAACUCAAUUUCAUUUUCAUCAUAAUUUAUAUCUCUUCAAAAUCGCUUUCAUUCAGUCGUUUUGCUUUUCUAAUACUCAUUAUUAUGCUGUUAAGUUUCACUGUUACAACAACAAUUCACGCCCAUUCAGUUAUCUUUAAAUCUUUAUAAUCGUCUGUGAAGUGACCGGAGCUGCAAGAAGACUGCUCUAACUCAGCUUGAAUUAUGAUCCAUUUCAACUUGAUAAAUGGCUAAAAAGAAUUUUCGAAAUGGCCGCAUGUAAAAGAAUAUCUUCUUUUGAGGGGAGACGGCUAUAAAGAGACCGAUGGUAUUAAGUUAAUAUUUAAAGAUAAAAACAAUCAAUAGUUAAAACUGCAAAUUUAAUCUGUAAUAAUAAAAGAAUUAUCAUGUUUAAAUUAAGAACUGAAAAAACAAAUUGUCCACACACUCUGUAAGUGAAAUAUUACCAUUCUUUAGAGAGAGUACUCAAACAACCACUGGUCAGCUCAUGAACAAAUGAAAUUUUAGAGGAAAAAUUUGCAAUCGGAAUAAAACUUUCCAAAGACGAAAAAUAAAAAGAAAUAAAAUGGCCGCCUGAUAGGAAAUAAAAAUUAUAUAAAUCAAAAAUAUUAACAAACUUUAUGUUGAUAUAAUUAACAAAAAGCUGAAAAAUAAAGGAAAAUAUAAAAAAUCCGAGUACAAAUACUGCUUUAUAGAUAAAGUUAAUAGUUUUUAAAUAUGAACUAAUCUUCAAAUAACUUUGGGGGGAUAUAAUAUUGUUAAUAAAAUUAAAAAACAUAAACAUAGCAAUGUCGUUGGAAAAUCAUUUUUGGAUCAGUUUUAAAUAACAGAGUAAAGAAAUGUAGCAGUUUGUAGCAAAAGAGUUCAAAAAGUGUAACAGACUGAAAUAGAUAGGAUUUGCAAGAUUUAAUUAAAAUGCAAGCAAUUGCAGCAUACCCAUUUAGCAAAUGCAUUCAGGAAACAGAAUUUUGGAUAUUUAAAUUCAAAACGUAAAAGAAAAACCAAUCAUUGCCCUGGAAGCAAUCAGAAAUUUUAUCUAGUUUCAUCUAAUUCCUUUCCGCACUUAAUGUAGACGGUUUUUAAAUGUUUAAAUAUAUACAUAUAUAUAUAUUAAAUUAGAAUUUGAAAUUAAUUUAGUUUUCCAGUAUUAAAAAUUAAAUCAUUCUUCUUCCUUAAAGAAUUUUUAUUGUUUUAAUUGAAUUUUUAUUGCAUUAUAUAUUUUACAUAUUCUAACUAAUAAGAAUAAUUUCAUUACAGAAUGCACAUGAAAUUGUGCAUUUAGUUUAAAGCUAACACUGUGAAGAAGCACUAAAUUCGUUCUAUUUAUAAUGAUAAUUAUAUACCAAAGAGAAAUAUAAAAUUUGCAAUAUUAAUAACAUUGAAUUAAUUAUAACACUGAAAGACUUCACCAAAUUUUCAGAUAAUUUAAAUUCAUAUUUAUAUGUAAUAAAAACAAUUAAACUAACAUUUAAAUGUUAUGAAAGAAAUUAAACAAACAUUUUAAUAUAAUAAUUUAAGCUUGUAUUUGAAUAAGACAAAAUUUAAAUAAAUAGAUAUGCUAUUGAGUGUUUAAUAAAAUCGAUUUACAGAAUGAUAUUUGUUAGAAACUCAUCGUUAAUUAUGAAAAUUUGCUUUUAACUUGAAAACAUUAUCAAUGAUAUUUAUUCAGAAAAAAAUAUUUUAUUUAUCAACAAAGUAAAUAAAUGUUAUAAGUGUAAGAACAUUUAUUCGUCAAUAUUCUGCGAAUUGAGUAAAAUAAAUUAUAUAUUGCAUUCUGAAUUAACAAUACAAUUUCCAGAGGAAAUAAUAUUGUUAAUAAAAUUUUAAAAAAAAAUACAGUAAUGUCACUGAAAAAUCAUUUUUCGGGUCAGUUUUAAACAACAGAGUAGAGAAGUGUAGCAGUAGUAGCAAAAUAUUUUAGAAAAUGUAACAGCUUGAAGCAGACAGGAUUUGUAAUAUUUAAUUAAAAUGCAAUCAAUUUCAGAUACAUACUUGGCAAAUUCAGGAAAUUAAAUUUUGGAUAUUUAAUGUCAAAACUAUACGUCUUAAAAAAAACAGCUCUUAUCUUGGAAGGAAUUAGAAAUUUUAUUUAGUUUUAUCUGAUUAAUUUCCAAACUUAAGCAGAAUAAUGUUUCUUAAGUUUAAAAAAAAAAUUAUUAAUGAGAACUUGAAAUUAAUUUAGUUUUUAAAUGAAAAUUAUAUUAUUAUUCUCUCUUAAAAACUUUCGUAAAAUUACUAUUUUAUUACAAAAUUAUAUUUUUCAAUUAUGACAAAGCAUAUGAGAAUUUCCUAUGCAAAAAACGUCUCAUAUAUAAAUGUAAAAAAUAUAAAAAGGUAUUCAUAUGAAUUAAAUUAAUAAUCAGGCUUUAUUACUAAUGAAAAUAAAUUUAACUUUAAUUGAAUUUCAUUACAGAUUAAAUUACUUUAAAUAUUGCCUCCCCCACCCCACAAAAAAGAAAUAGAUAGUCAGUAGUACUGACUGCUUUAUAUCUGUGAAAAUUUUGUAAUUUAGCUUCAUUUUGACAUAAAAUUUCAACAACAGAAAAGAAUUCAUUAGCCUGAAAUAAAAUGGGGGGGGAGAAUAAUUAAUUUAAAUUUGCUUAAAUAUACCAGAAAUCAGGUGAUAAAUUUCGGUUUGGAAACAAGAUAAGCAGUAUUUUAAUUUUUGUCAGCAAUCUUACAUCGAGUUCACUUUUCGUAGAAAAUUUUAAGUAUACUUUCUUUGCUGUAACCACUGGAGCAGGAUACAUGUAAGUGCUGUUAGCAGGAAUGGACGAAUGAAUUGAUAUAAAUGGUAUAACUCUUGCAUAAAAAUGUAAGUAACUGGAAGAUUUACAAGAUCUUUAUCAAAAUAUGCAUUUUUAACAAUAAUAUUAGACAUUUCUCAUGUACAUUCAAAUAUAUCUAGAAAAGCAAAAUAUUAUUUUCUGUUAUGAAUGUGGAAUAAACUAUACUUUUAUCAACUAUCCACAAUAAUAUUCUUUAAAGAACACAUGCAAAUUAAACUGCAAAGUUUGCUUAGUAUGAUGGUUAGUCUCAAAAGCUAUAAACCAGUUUCAGAUGCCUUCAUUUAUCUUACUCUGGCAAACACAUGGGGGGGGGGAUUAUAUGAUCUAAAUACUUUCGCAUUCAAAUUCUAUAUAUUGCUCAAAAUAGGCUUCAGAAAAUAACAAUGAUGCUGUAAUUUCUCCUAAUUUUAUUUAACAACUCUGAUAUUAUAUCAACGAACUUCACUGCUGAUGGACAUGUGGCAAAAGAAUCAUUCCCAAGAGGAACUUCUCGUAUUUGCACGCUUUGUAAUGAAGAUCUGGAAUCAAGAAUUCUAGAAAAUGAUCAGCAUUCCUAUUCAAAACAUUUCUUUGGUGCUUACAGAAUGUACAAAAAUGUGAUCCCUUAUUCUAA